GCAGCCGCCGCGGUAAUGCGAAGGGUGCAAGCGUUACUCGGAAUUACUGGGCGUAAAGCGUGCGUAGGUGGUGGUUUAAGUCCGUUGUGAAAGCCCUGGGCUCAACCUGGGAAUUGCAGUGGAUACUGGGUCACUAGAGUGUGGUAGAGGAUAGUGGAAUUCCCGGUGUAGCGGUGAAAUGCGUAGAGAUCGGGAGGAACAUCAGUGGCGAAGGCGGCCAUCUGGGACAACACUGACGCUGAGGCACGAAAGCGUGGGGAGCAAACAGGAUUAGAUACCCCGGUAGUCCCUGUCUCUUAUAC
rnacentral:rRNA from 1 species